rnacentral:rRNA from 1 species
UACGUAGGGGGCUAGCGUUGUCCGGAUUUAUUGGGCGUAAAGAGCGUGUAGGCGGCCUGACAGGUCUGCUGUGAAAACUCGAGGCUCAACCUCGAGAUGUCGGCGGAAACCGUCUGGCUAGAGUCCGGAAGAGGAGAGUGGAAUUCCUGGUGUAGCGGUGAAAUGCGCAGAUAUCAGGAAGAACACCUAUGGCGAAGGCAGCUCUCUGGGACGGUACUGACGCUGAGACGCGAAAGCGUGGGGAGCAAACAGG